UUAAACCCUUUACUUAAUACUGAUUAUACUGUGGGGACGAAAGUCUCUGCUUUUAACUAGAUAGCAACUUUCAGCAGUGGAUGUCUAGGCUCGCACAUCGAUGAAGAACGCUGCGAACUGCGAUACGUAAUGCGAAUUGCAGGAUUCAGUGAGUCAUCGAAAUUUUGAACGCAUAUUGCACUUCCGGGUUAGUCCUGGAAGUAUGCCUGUAUCAGUGUCCGUACAACAAACUUGGCUUUCUUCCUUCCGUGUAGUCGGUGGAGGAGAUGCCAGAUGUGAAGUGUCUUGCGGUUGGUUUUCGGACCGACUGCGAGUCCUUUUAAAUGUACUAAACUGUACUUCUCUUUGCUCCAAAAGUGGUGGCAUUGCUGGUUGUGGACGCUGCUAUUGUAGCGAGUUGGCGACCGGUUUGUCUGCUGCGGCGUUAAUGGAGAAAUGCUCGAUUCGUGGUAUGGUUGGCUUCGGCUGAACAAUGCGCUUAUUGGGUGAUUUUCCUGCUGUGGCGUGAUGGACUGGUGAACCAUGGCUCUUUAGCUUGGCAUUUGAAUCGGCUUUGCUGUUGCGAAGUAGAGUGGCGGCUUCGGCUGCCGAGGGUCGAUCCAUUUGGGAAAUGUUGUGUACUUCGGUAUGCAUCUCAAUUGGACCUGAUAUCAGGCAAGAUUACCCGCUGA
rnacentral:rRNA from 1 species